GUUACCCAAAGCUCGGCGUCUGUGAUGGUCUAGGGGGCUUCCGAGGCGAUCGGGCAGUGUCAGUCUUCAGCCGCUAAGCCGAGCGCAGAGAUAAGAGGUUGGGGUGCGGAAAUAAGCGAUUGGGGGAGGGAAGGCUGCCUUCCCAGUCCGUGACCGGCGCCAGAGUUUUGGGUCCACGGAUAAAACGUGUCUCCUUUGUCUCUACCA
rnacentral:lncRNA from 1 species